rnacentral:tRNA from 1 species
UUGAUAGAAACCAAAAUAGAGGUAUAUCACUGUUAAUGAUAAAAUUGAAACUACUUUUCCUAUCAAG